UACAGGGGGUGCAAACGUUGCUCGGAAUUAUUGGGCGUAAAGCGCACGUAGGCGGUCAUGCAAGUUGGAUGUGAAAGCCCUCGGCUUAACCGAGGAAGUGCAUCCAAAACUAUAUGGCUUGAGUAUGGAAGAGGGUCGCGGAAUUCCCGGUGUAGAGGUGAAAUUCGUAGAUAUCGGGAGGAACACCAGUGGCGAAGGCGGCGACCUGGUCCAAUACUGACGCUGAGGUGCGAAAGCGUGGGGAGCAAACAGG
rnacentral:rRNA from 1 species